rnacentral:rRNA from 1 species
CCCUUCUCUGCGGAAUAUCCUCUGGAAACGGUGAGUAAUACCGCAUACGCCCUUCGGGGGAAAGAUUUAUCGGUGAAGGAUCANCCCGCGUCUGAUUAGAUAGUUGGUGGGGUAACGGCCUACCAAGUCGACGAUCAGUAGCUGGUUUUAGAGGAUGAUCAGCAACACUGGGACUGAGACACGGCCCAGACUCCUACGGGAGGCAGCAGUGGGGAAUCUUAGACAAUGGGCGCAAGCCUGAUCUAGCCAUGCCGCGUGAGUGAUGAAGGCCUUAGGGUCGUAAAGCUCUUUCGCCAGGGAUGAUAAUGACAGUACCUGGUAAAGAAACCCCAGCUAACUCCGUGCCAGCAGCCGCGGUAAUACGGAGGGGGCUAGCGUUGUUCGGAAUUACUGGGCGUAAAGCGCACGUAGGCGGACUAUUAAGUCAGGGGUGAAAUCCCGGGGCUCAACCCCGGAACUGCCUUUGAUACUGGUAGUCUUGAGUUCGAGAGAGGUGAGUGGAA